rnacentral:rRNA from 1 species
UGGGGAAUAUUGCACAAUGGAGGGAACUCUGAUGCAGCGACGCCGCGUGAACGAAGAAGGCUUUCGAGUCGUAAAGUUCUUUUAUAUGGUAAGAUAAUGACGGUACCAUAAGAAGAAGCCCCGGCUAACUACGUGCCAGCAGCCGCGGUAAUACGUAGGGGGCUAGCGUUGUCCGGAAUCACUGGGCGUAAAGGGUUCGCAGGCGGAAAUGCAAGUCAGGUGUAAAAGGCAGUAGCUUAACUACUGUAAGCAUUUGAAACUGCAUAUCUUGAGAAGAGUAGAGGUAAGUGGAAUUUUUAGUGUAGCGGUGAAAUGCGUAGAUAUUAAAAAGAAUACCGGUGGCGAAGGCGACUUACUGGGCUCAUUCUGACGCUGAGGAACGAAAGCGUGGGUAGCAAACAGG